AGAUAAUAGAUACCCCGGUAGUCCAUGCCGUAAACGUUGGGCACUAGGUGUGGGGGACAUUCCACGUUUUCCGCGCCGUAGCUAAACGCAUUAAGUGCCCCGCCUGGGGAGUACGGCCGCAAGGCUAAAACUCAAAGGAAUUGACGGGGGCCCGCACAAGCGGCGGAGCAUGCGGAUUAAUUCGAUGCAACGCGAAGAACCUUACCAAGGCUUGACAUGGACCGGAUCGCUGCAGAAAUGUGGUUUCUCCUUUUGGGGCCGGUUCACAGGUGGUGCAUGGUUGUCGUCAGCUCGUGUCGUGAGAUGUUGGGUUAAGUCCCGCAACGAGCGCAACCCUCGUUCCAUGUUGCCAGCACGUGAUGGUGGGGACUCAUGGGAGACUGCCGGGGUCAACUCGGAGGAAGGUGGGGACGACGUCAAAUCAUCAUGCCCCUUAUGUCUUGGGCUUCACGCAUGCUACAAUGGCCGGUACAAAGGGUUGCGAUACUGUGAGGUGGAGCUAAUCCCAAAAAGCCGGUCUCAGUUCGGAUUGGGGUCUGCAACUC
rnacentral:rRNA from 1 species